UGCAAUGCAUGCAAGAUGGAGGAGUUAGAAGUGGAGGUGCGCUUUCCGAACGGCGUGUAUUAUAAGGGAUUUGUCAAAGAUGUUCUGAACAAUGAAGUGGUUUUAACAUUUGAAAAGAACUGGCAGCCAGAGAGAAAAUUUCCAUUUAAAGAUGUCCGUUUAGCCCCAAAGAAUGCUGGGAAGACUGAUUUUCAGCCAGGAGAUGAUGU